rnacentral:lncRNA from 1 species
CACGAACCACAUCCAGUCCUGGACCAGCGGGGCACUAGCCGCCACUACCCACUCAUCUCCAGAACUGCAACCCAAAGAGGUGGAGACAGCAUUACCUGGUGGUGGGCUUCUGGCUUUCAUUCAUGUGAUUUGAGAAGAGAGAAAUGGGACCAGGAAGAAAAAAACAGAAGAAGGUAUUGUGGAGGAAGAGAGAAAAAACACACACACAAGGUGGAGAGUGAGAUGGGAGUCUCUUGUCACAAUUUGAUGAAGAUUUACCAACGAAAGAGAAAUUAGAG